GGUCUGGUGGCCCUAGCGCGAGCAAAACACCCGAUCCCAUCCCGAACUCGGCCGUUAAGUGCCGCUGCGCCGAUGGUACUGCGUCUUAAGACGUGGGAGAGUAGGUCACCGCCAGACCUG
rnacentral:rRNA from 1 species